UGGGGAAUUUUGGACAAUGGGGGCAACCCUGAUCCAGCAAUGCCGCGUGAGUGAAGAAGGCCUUCGGGUUGUAAAGCUCUUUUGUCCGGGAAGAAAUCCCAUCCCUGAAUACGGGGUGGGGAUGACGGUACUGGAAGAAUAAGCACCGGCUAACUACGUGCCAGCAGCCGCGGUAAUACGUAGGGUGCAAGCGUUAAUCGGAAUUACUGGGCGUAAAGCGUGCGCAGGCGGUUGUGCAAGACCGAUGUGAAAUCCCCGGGCUUAACCUGGGAACUGCAUUGGUGACUGCACGGCUAGAGUGUGUCAGAGGGGGGUAGAAUUCCACGUGUAGCAGUGAAAUGCGUAGAGAUGUGGAGGAAUACCGAUGGCGAAGGCAGCCCCCUGGGAUAACACUGACGCUCAUGCACGAAAGCGUGGGGAGCAAACAGGAUUAGAUACCCUGGUAGUCCACGCCCUAAACGAUGUCAACUAGUUGUCGGGGAUUAAUUUCCUUGGUAACGCAGCUAACGCGUGAAGUUGACCGCCUGGGGAGUACGGUC
rnacentral:rRNA from 1 species